rnacentral:sRNA from 1 species
AAUGUCUGAAGAAGUGACCUACGCGACACUCACAUUUCAGGAUUCUGCUGGAGCAAGGAAUAACCGAGAUGGAAAUAACCUAAGAAAAAGAGGGCAUCCAGCUCCAUCUCCCAUUUGGCGUCACGCUGCCCUGGGUCUGCUAACUCUUUGCCUGAUGUUGCUGAUUGGGCUGGUGACGUUGGGGAUGAUGUGUAAGUAUAUCAGCAUCAAACCCAACAAAGGCAACUAGAAAACAUAUUGUAAACCAUGUACUUUCAGCUUGGAUUGUAGAUGGCUCCUAGCAUCCUGAAUCGUCUGAUACUUUUCUGCUGUCUCAUAUCUCUCCUAUUCGUCAUAUCUUCCCAAAAAACCAGCAAAAGACAUUAUCAGGAUUUGGUUCUAAAUUCAUUGUUUUAUCUUGAUAAGCUAAACUGGACUUAGACAAAGACUCUGUUUCUAGUUAUUCAUUAGAAUAAAGAGCCUCUUUUCUGCCUAGACACACAUUCACUUAUCAUUCCAAUGCUGAGAAAUAAAGUCAAGAAAUAUGUAU